GUAGGAGAGAGAGGUGGGGAGAGAGAGGUAGGGAGAGAAAGGUAGGGAGAGAGAGGUAGGGAGAGAAAGGUAGGGAGAGAGUAUGUGGGAGAGAGAGGUAGGGAGAGAGAGGUAGGGAGAGAGAGGUAGGGAGAGAGUGGUAGGGAGAGAGAGGUAGGGAGAGAGUAUGUGGGAGAGAGAGGUAGGGAGAGAGAGGUAGGGAGAGAGUGGUAGGGAGAGAGAGGUAGGGAGAGAGAGGUAGGGAGAGAGUGGUAGGGAGAGAGAGGUAGGGUGAGAGUGUGUGUGAGAGAGAGGUAGGGAGAGAGAGGUAGGGAGAGAGUGGUAGGGAGAGAGUGGUAGGGAGAGAGAGGUAGGGAGAGAGUGGUAGGGAGAGAGUGGUAGGGAGAGAGAGGUAGGGAGAGAGAGGUAGGGAGAGAGUGGUAGGGAGAGAGUAUGUGGGAGAGAGAGGUAGGGAGAGUGGUAGGGAGAGAGUAUGUGGGAGAGAGAGGUAGGGAGAGAGUGGUAGGGAGAGAGUAUGUGGGAUCAGCAGCUGGAGGCUCUUUCUUUGUCGAGGGGGCCUCUGUUUAUUUACUGUACUACACUUCCACUCCUCUUUUUCCUCUCAUUCUCCCACCCUCUCUCCUUCUCCCGCUCUGUCUCAUUCCCCCUCUUUCUCAUCCUCUAACUCUCCCACUCCCCCUCUCUGUCAUCCUCCCACUCACGUCUUCCUCCCAUAUGUUUCAAAUGGUUUCUCCCACUCUCCACUUUUACCCUACUCUCCAACUCCGGGACUUCCCUUUCCCACUCCCCCUCUCUCCAUUUCUCUUUUCCAACUCAUUAUCCCCCUUUCCCAAAUGUUUACUCUCCCCUCUUCUACAGUAUGUGUUCUUCUGUCCCUCUCCCAUUCCCAAACCUUUUCCCAUAUGCUCCU
rnacentral:lncRNA from 1 species